rnacentral:rRNA from 1 species
AUUGAACGCUGGCGGCAGGCCUAACACCUGCAAGUCGAACGAGUGGCGGACGGGUGAGUAGUGUCUGGGAAACUGCCUGAUGGAGGGGGAUAACUACUGGAACCGGUAGCUAAUCCCCCAUACCAUCGCAUUUUUCAAGAUGGGAUUAGCUAGUAGGUGGGGUAACGGCUCACCUAGGCGACGAUCCCUAGCUGGUCUGAGAGGAUGACCAGACACACUGGAACUGAGACACGGUCCAGACUCCUACGGGAGGCAGCAGUGGGGAAUAUUGCACAAUGGGCGCAAGCCUGAUGCAGCCAUGCCGCGUGUAUGAAGAAGGCCUUCGGGUUGUAAAGUACUUUCAGCGGGGAGGCGUUACCCGCAGAAGAAGCACCGGCUAACUCCGUGCCAGCAGCCGCGGUAAUAC